GUGUCAGCCGCCGCGGUAAUACAGAGGUCUCAAGCGUUGUUCGGAAUUACUGGGCGUAAAGGGUGCGCAGGCUGCGCGGCAAGUCAAAUGUGAAAUUCAGGGGCUCAACCCCUGCAUUGCGCUUGAUACUUCCGCGCUCGAGCCUUGGAAAGGAGUCUGGAAUUCUCGGUGUAGCAGUGAAAUGCGUAGAUAUCGAGAGGAACACUAAGGGCGAAGGCAAGACUCUGGACAAGUGCUGACGCUCAUGCACGAAGGCUAGGGUAGCGAACGGGAUUAGAUACCCGCGUAGUCC
rnacentral:rRNA from 1 species